GAUGGAGGCUGGAGCGGGGAGGCCAUGAGACAGCAGAGCGCUGGUAAACACCAUGCAGAAAAGCUGUAUUGUGGGGUUACAAAGUCUGGGCUGUUUAAGGAGCUCUGUCAUUCCUUUUAAUGGAGCUCACUGACGCAGAUCUGGGUUCUGCCAGCCGAGGAAAUAUUGCUGCUGAGAAAAGGGUUAUUGAAACCCACAAACUAAAUAUUAUAAGCAAGAAUCAAAUGGCAGGACAUUCUGGAGUGUAAUCCCUCCUGAUUUCAGGAGAAGGGGAACAUAUUGGCAUGGAAUGAAGCUCCCUCCAGUCACCUGCUGCAAGACACAUUAUCCAGCUUCCUAACCUUAAGGAUGAGACCCUAUCAAUAUUGCCUCUGCUUUUGUGAUCAGGGUAGUAGUGCAAUAUUGCUUAUAGGGUCUUUUCUUUUGAGGGUUAUUCUUCAUGGAGAGAAGAAAGCCACAGCAGGAAAAAGUAAUCCCAUGUGCCCACCAAGUUAAGGGAAAAGUUGUGAAAUGCUGAGCGUUAUUAGAUAGGCGAGUAAUUGUACAGAGAUGUUAUUUGUGUCAAAUAAUCGUGCUAUUCUGGUGACUCAGGUUGUGAGUAAUGGGCAUAUUUUUGAUGCUAUCACACAGGAUUCAAAACGGCCUCGCGUUUAAAACACAAGCAAUGAUUGAAACCAGAGAAACACCAUCAUGGCUCUUUUUUAAAAUAGUAUGAGUUCUGAGACGUUUGAAGGGUGUCUAUAUUACAUACUGAUGUAAACACCCACCAAAGGAUGGGAGGAGAUACAUAGCAGUACUUGCUGCUUCUGUGCCUGAUCCUACCCCGAAAACCAGUGUGGUACGAAGCAAAGCACAGCACAAAGAGGCCGAGGCUCUAAUCCCAAUAACCUCCGCGAAACAAAGCUCAUGCCUCUGCCCGACGAGCGCGGCCCGCCGGGCUCCUCGACCGUGCCCCGCACCCGCGGCUGUCCCAGGGUCGGGCGGCGCAGCGGGGCCGGGCGCUGCCUCCGGCCCUUCCCGAGAGCUGCUCUCUGAGGUACGUGGGAACGGAGCAGGGAUGGGGGUGUUAAAUCUCCUCUCCGCUUUGUGAGGAUCAGCUGGGGGCUGACAGCAGCCGGGAUGGCCGAGUGGGUGGCCCUGCCUUCCAUUUCAGGUGGUCCCCGCGGUCCCUUUCGGGACCUCAGGGGCCCAGGGAAAGGGGUGGUGGGAGGGGACUGAGGGCCGGAUCAGGGCGCGGCGGAGCAGCCGCUGCCGCGGGGUUUUCCGUGC